rnacentral:rRNA from 1 species
GAUGAACGCUGGCGGCGUGCCUAAUACAUGCAAGUCGAGCGAACGGACGAGAAGCUUGCUUCUUUGACGUUAGCGGCGGACGGGUGAGUAACACGUGGAUAACCUACCUAUAAGACUGGGAUAACUUCGGGAAACCGGAGCUAAUACCGGAUAAUAUUUUGAACCGCAUGGUUCAAAAGUGAAAGACGGUUUUGCUGUCACUUAUAGAUGGAUCUGCGCUGCAUUAGCUAGUUGGUAAGGUAACGGCUUACCAAGGCAACGAUUCAUAGCCGACCUGAGAGGGUGGUCGGCCACACUGGAACUGAGACACGGUCCAGACUCCUACGGGAGGCAGCAGUAGGGAAUCUUCCGCAAUGGUCGAAAGCCUGACGGAGCAACGCCGAGUGAGUGAUGAAGGUCUUCGGAUCGUAAAACUCUGUUAUUAGGGAAGAACAGAUGUGUCAGUAACUGUGCACAUCUUGACGGUACCUAAUCAGAAAGCCACGGCUAACUACGUG